rnacentral:rRNA from 1 species
GGCAACCCUGACGGAGCAACGCCGCGUGCGGGAAGACGGCCUGUGGGUUGUAAACCCCUUUUCUCAGGGAAGAAGACCUGACGGUACCUGAGGAAUCAGCAUCGGCUAACUCCGUGCCAGCAGCCGCGGUAAUACGGAGGAUGCAAGCGUUGUCCGGAAUUAUUGGGCGUAAAGCGUCCGCAGGCGGCUUUUCAAGUCUGCUGUUAAAGGUCGGGGCUCAACUCCGUUAGGCAGUGGAAACUGAAAGGCUAGAGUGCAGUAGGGGUAGAGGGAAUUCCCAGUGUAGCGGUGAAAUGCGUAGAUAUUGGGAAGAACACCAGUGGCGAAAGCGCUCGACUGGGCCUGCACUGACACUGAGGGACGAAAGCUAGGGGAGCG